GAUAAACCAAUUUUUCACUUUUUAUUUUUAAUUUUUGAUUCUUCGUCUUAUUCAAAAAAAUUUUGCGAUUGAUAUUUUUAUUUUUAUUAGAUGAUAAAUUAUGAAUAGUACUUUACGUGUGACUAAAUUUUUUUUUAAUUUCCUGAAAAUUUUUCAAAUAAGAUGGAUGGUCAAACGUUGGACACGGAAACCGAAGAAUUCGUUUUUU
rnacentral:pre_miRNA from 1 species